AAAGUCGUAACAAGGUAACCGUAGGUGAACCUGCGGUUGGAUCAUUACAAAGUUUUUGACCUGGGGCCCCUCAAAAGGCCCCGGUCUUCAACCCCUUGUGCAAUCGUAAACUAUUUCUGGGUGUCUUUGGCUCCGCAGCAAUGCGCGAAUCUGGGCACCCGCAAUCCUUGAAAACCCUAUCAAUUGUCUGACAUUAUGAAAAUAAUUAUAAACAACUUUUGACAACGGAUCUCUUGGCUCUC
rnacentral:misc_RNA from 1 species